rnacentral:rRNA from 1 species
GGUGAUCUAUCCAUGGGCAGGUUGAAGGUUGGGUAACACUAACUGGAGGACCGAACCGACUAAUGUUGAAAAAAUUAGCGGAUGACUUGUGGAUGGGGGGUGAAAGGCCAAUCAAACCGGGAGAUAGCUGGUUCUCCCCCGAAAGCUAUUUAGGUAGCGCCUCGUGAACUCAUCUUCGGGGGUAGAGCACUGUUUCGACUAGGGGGUCAUCCCGACUUACCAACUCGAUGCAAACUGCGAAUACCGAAGAAUGUUAUCACGGGAGACACACGGCGGGUGCUAAACGUCCGUCGUGAAGAGGGAAACAACCCAGACCGCCAGCUAAGGUCCCAAAGUCAUGGUUAAGUGGGAAACGAAGUGGGAAGGCUCAGACAGCCAGGA